UAGGCUAAACCUCCCUCAAAGCCAUGAAGUCCCAGAGCUCUUAUUCCAAGAACUGGUGAGAUUCCCUUAACUGCAGAUUCAAUAGCACCGGUUAUGAACCCCAAAAACAACAGGAAAGAGAGCACCGUCUACUCAGACUGUCACACCGGCAACGAGAGCAGUAAGAGCAGAUAGUGGAACAGAACUAGCAGCAGAUAGGCAUUCAGUUAGCUUGAAAACGGACUCGUAGUUAGAAAUCCUCAACAACUAUCUUUAGAAUGUCCUAUCUCUCUCUUCAACGCUUUAAAACGAGCUAGAAGGCUUCUCUUAAAGCAGAAAAAUAGGAGUUAUAGUAGUUUCAGCUAUUCGAUUCGAAUGAGUGCCCUCACUUCCUUUCCUUACUACGAUAUGCCCAAAAAAAAGAAAAAGAAAGUGCAACAUAUCAAAGAGCGAUGACACAAAUUAUCAGUGAC
rnacentral:lncRNA from 1 species